CACUCCUACGGGAGGCAGCAGUGAGGAAUAUUGGACAAUGGGUGGAAGCCUGAUCCAGCCAUCCCGCGUGCAGGAAGACGGCCCUAUGGGUUGUAAACUGCUUUUAUCUGGGGAUAAACCUACUUACGUGUAAGUAGCUGAAGGUACCAGAAGAAUAAGCACCGGCUAACUCCGUGCCAGCAGCCGCGGUAAUACGGAGGGUGCAAGCGUUAUCCGGAUUUAUUGGGUUUAAAGGGUCCGUAGGCGGACUGAUAAGUCAGUGGUGAAAUCCGACAGCUUAACUGUCGAACUGCCAUUGAUACUGUUAGUCUUGAGUAAGGUUGAAGUGGCUGGAAUAAGUAGUGUAGCGGUGAAAUGCAUAGAUAUUACUUAGAACACCAAUUGCGAAGGCAGGUCACUAAGUCUUAACUGACGCUGAUGGACGAAAGCGUGGGGAGCGAACAGGAUUAGAAACCCUUGUAGUCCCA
rnacentral:rRNA from 1 species